UACGAAGGGGGCUAGCGUUGCUCGGAAUCACUGGGCGUAAAGGGCGCGUAGGCGGCCUGCUAAGUCGAACGUGAAAUCCCCGAGCUCAACUCGGGAACUGCGUCCGAUACUGGCAGGCUUGAAUCCGGGAGAGGGAUGCGGAAUUCCAGGUGUAGCGGUGAAAUGCGUAGAUAUCUGGAGGAACACCGGUGGCGAAGGCGGCAUCCUGGACCGGCAUUGACGCUGAGGCGCGAAAGCCAGGGGAGCAAACGGG
rnacentral:rRNA from 1 species